AACCUUAUGGACCUGCGGGCGUAUACCUGCGGAAGGAUCAUUAUCGAGUUUUGAAACGGGUUGUAGCUGACCUCAAUUGGGGUAUGUGCACGCCUGGCUCAUUCCACUCUCAAACCCCUGUGCACUUAUUGUAGGCUUGGUGGGAUAGGCUGACUUUCACUAGUCGGUCUUGAAAGCUUCGCCUAUGUUUUAAUACAAACGCUUCAGUUUAGAAUGUAAUCAUUGCUAACAAGCAAAUUA
rnacentral:misc_RNA from 1 species